rnacentral:lncRNA from 1 species
GAAGAAGAUUUCCUGCUGUAAUAUUCCACAAAGUUUUCACGCAGUUUUGAUUGUGGACCGUCCGAUCUGUUAUGUAUGGUUGUGAUUAUUUUGAUGGAUUUUAUAGCUGAUUUGAUCAGAUCCGUUCGAUCAAGAAACAAUGGCUGAGAUUGAAACUGCGUGAAACUGUGUGAUUUUAUUACUGUAGCAAAUCCGAAUCC